AAGAGGGAAGUAAAUGCAAAUGGGUCAGUGUGGGGGUGGUAUGGUAACGACUUUGCCAAACAGGAAGUGAGAUUAAAAAACAACAACAACACUAAUUGAGCUAAGUCUUCGUACUCAACUCCCAUCACAUCCCAUGUAAACCUGUGCGAAUGCUGGGAAAGCCAGAAGAAAAUCCCAAUGGGCCCAUCAGCGUUCUUUGAAGCGACGCUCCUCGCAGCUGCCUGCUAUUCAUCUUACUACUACCAACAACUUUAGAUGAGAUAACAUAACUUCACACUCCAAAGAGCCAGUUAAUACAGACUAGUCCAGCUUGGUUGAGCGAGGGCUCAGUUUUUUGGCUCAGCUUGGUAGAAACACGAGUGGACACCAUUUGCGUGGUCCUCGGAGCUGAAUGAGACUGGGAAGCAACAAAUUUACGCAAACAGUGGGACCACUAACCCCUGAAGUUACGCUCUUUUUUUUUUUGUGUAAGCAUCAACCACAUAGGGCCACCAGUCAUGGGAUAAUGAAUGGAACAGGAUAUGGACGGAGGCAAGACACACAAUGUGAAUCCAUGGUGGACAACACCCAAGUUGUUGUUGUUGUUUUUUUUUUUUGCGAGGCUUCUAAGCAUGAAAGG